AUUUUAGAUAAGUUUAUUUUUAAGUACACUUAAUCCUCAUUAUCUGCAGUUUUUGUAUUUGUGAAUUCACCUACUUGGUAAAAUUCAUUUUUAACUUUCAAAUCAAUACUCAUGGUGCUUUUGAGACAAUUUGAGGACAUGUGCAAAGUGGCAAAAAACUUUCAGUCAGCCGACAUGUAUACAUCCAGCUGAAGUUGAACAGAGUUAUGCUCUCUCUUCUUGUUUCAGCUUUCAUACAGAGAUGGCCAGAGCAUAGAUAGGGUGGGGACAAUGCAAUGCAAUGUAAGAAGCCUCAGCUCUGGUGACAGGUGUAUAAGGCUUGAAUUCCAGCAUUGGCAUCGGACCUGGGAACCAUCCCUUUCAAAGGUAAUUAUCAAGGAAGAUGUUGCCUUAUCUUCCAGCCUCUGUAGAACAGCAGGAGUCUGACUUAGGUGGCCACUUUUCUCUAAAUUGAAAAACUAUCUUCUACCAUUAGAGUGAACUGAACAGGCAACCUACAGAAUGGGAGAAAUUUUUUGCAAUCUACUCAUCUAAUCUACAGAAUCUACAAAGAACUCAAACAAAUUUACAAGAAAAAAACAAACAACCCCAUCCAAAAGUGGGCAAAGGAUAUGAACAGACACUUCUCAAAAGAAGACAAUUAUGCAGCCAACAGACACAUGAAAAAAUGCCCACCAUCACUGGCCAUCAGAGAAAUGCAAAUCAAAACCACAAUGAGAUACCAUCUCACACCAGUUAGAAUGGUGAUCAUUAAAAAGUCAGGAAACAACAGGUGCUGGAGAGGAUGUGGAGAAAUAGGAACAAUUUUACACUGUUGGUGGGAUUGUAAAUUAGUUCAACCAUUGU
rnacentral:lncRNA from 1 species